AAACAGUGGCUAAGACUGGAUAGGAAGAUAAAAGGCAUCUUUUAUCUUUUAAAAGACCUAGUAUAGGUAUGCAUUAGGAGGGGCUUGCGCCAUAUUAGUUAGUUGGUAGGGUAAUGGCCUACCAAGACGAUGAUGUGUAGCUGGACUGAGAGGUUGAACAGCCACAUUGGGACUGAGACACGGCCCAAACUCCUACGGGAGGCAGCAGUAGGGAAUUUUCGGAAUGGAGGAAACUCUGACCGAGCAACGCCGCGUGAAUGACGAAGUACUUCGGUAUGUAAAGUUCUUUUAUCAAGGAAGAAAAGCAAAUGGCGAACCAUUUGUUUGCCGGUACUUGAUGAAUAAGCCCGGCUAAUUAUGUGCCAGCAGCCGCGGUAAGACAUAAGGGGCAAGUGUUAUCCGGAAUUAUUGGGCGUAAGGCUGCGUAGGCGGUCUAGUAAGUCAGUGGUGUAAUGGCAACGCUUAACGUUGUCCGGCUAUUGAAAUGCUAAACUUGAGUUAGAUAGAGGCGAGUGGAAUUCCAUGUGUAGCGGUAAAAUGCGUAAAUAUAUGGAGAACACCAGAGGCGUAGGCGGCUCGCUGGGUCUUAACUGACGCUGAGGCACGAAAGCGUGGGGAGCAAAAGGAUUAGAUACCCUGGUAGUCCACGCCGUAAACGAUGAGUACUAAGUGUCGGGUUAAACCGGUACUGAGUUAACACAUUAAGUACUCCGCCUGAGUAGUACGUACGCAAGUAUGAAACUUAAAGGAAUUGACGGGACUCCGCACAAGCGGUGGAUCAUGUUGUUUAAUUCGAAGAUACCCGAAAAACCUUACCAGGUCUUGACAUGUUUUUGCAAAAUGAUAGUAAUAUCGUGGGAGGUUACCAGAAACACAGGUGGUGCAUGGUUGUCGUCAGCUCGUGUCGUGAGUGUUUAGGUUAAGUCCUAAAACGAGCGAAACCCUUAUCGUUAGUUGCCAGCACGUUUAUGGUGGGGGACUUUAACGAGACUGCCAAUGAUAAAUUGGAGGAAGGUGAGGAUCACGUCAAAUCAGCAUGCCCCUUAUGACCUGGGCUACAAACGUGAUACAAUGGCUGUUACAAAGGGUAGCUGAAACGCAAGUUCUUGGCCAUCCCCAAAAACAGUCCCAGUCCGGAUUGAAGUCU
rnacentral:rRNA from 1 species